GACGUAGGGCGCGAGCGUUGUCCGGAUUUAUUGGGCGUAAAGAGCUCGUAGGCGGUUUGUCGCGUCGUUCGUGAAAACUCACAGCUCAACUGUGGGCGUGCGGGCGAUACGGGCAGACUGGAGUACUGCAGGGGAGACUGGAAUUCCUGGUGUAGCGGUGGAAUGCGCAGAUAUCAGGAGGAACACCGGUGGCGAAGGCGGGUCUCUGGGCAGUAACUGACGCUGAGGAGCGAAAGCGUGGGGAGCGAACAGG
rnacentral:rRNA from 1 species